rnacentral:rRNA from 1 species
UACGAAGGGGGCUAGCGUUGCUCGGAAUCACUGGGCGUAAAGGGUGCGUAGGCGGGUCUUUUAAGUCAGGGGUGAAAUCCUGGAGCUCAACUCCAGAACUGCCUUUGAUACUGAAGAUCUUGAGUUCGGGAGAGGUGAGUGGAACUUGCGAGUGUAGAGGUGAAAUUCGUAGAUAUUCGCAAGAACACCAGUGGCGAAGGCGGCUCACUGGCCCGAUACUGACGCUGAGGCACGAAAGCGUGGGGGAGCAA